rnacentral:rRNA from 1 species
AGAGAGAGACAUGCGCGCAUAUCAAUAAGCGGAGGAAAAGAAACUAACUAGGAUUCCCUCAGUAACGGCGAGUGAAGCGGGAAGAGCUCAAAUUUGAAAUCUUAAAGGGUUUCCCUUUACGAAUUGUAGUUUAAAGAAGUGUUUUCUGUGGAGGUUUUGGUAAAAGUUCUUGGAAUAGGACAUCAUAGAGGGUGAGAAUCCCGUAUUUGACCAUUACUUUCAGCUUUGUGAUGACACUUUCAAAGAGUCGGAUUGUUUGGGAAUGCAGUCCAAAAUGGGUGGUAAAUUUCAUCUAAAGCUAAAUAUUGGCGAGAGACCGAUAGCGAACAAGUACCGUGAGGGAAAGAUGAAAAGAACUUUGAAAAGAGAGUUAAACAGUACGUGAAAUUGUCAAAAGGGAAGCGUUUGACACCAGUGUUGUUUUCUCGAAAAUCAAUUAAAAAAGGCAGGAUUUUGUGUUGUAUUGACUUUAUCAGCUUUCUGCACUCUUUUCUUGUCUUUUUUAAUGCACUUUUCGUUUAACAAGUCAACAUCAAUUUCUUUUGUUGUAAAAGGGUCAUUGGAAGGUGGCUUUCUUUUCGGAGAAAGUGUUUAUAGCCUUUGGCCUCUGCAAUCGGAGAGAUUGAGGUCUGCAGCGUAGAUCCUUCGGGGUUAGAUACAUUUGUGCUAAGUUAUAGCCUUUCAUAGACAACUUGUUGACUAUGAUCAGUCAUGUAGCUUACUCGCUUAUGCUAUUUUACCUACGCUUAGGAUGUUGAUGUGAUACUGCGAGC